rnacentral:rRNA from 1 species
UACGUAGGGGGCAAGCGUUGUCCGGAUUUAUUGGGCGUAAAGAGCGUGUAGGCGGCCAAGCAGGUCCGCUGUGAAAACUCGAGGCUCAACCUCGAGACGUCGGUGGAAGCCGUUUGGCUAGAGUCCGGAAGAGGAGAGUGGAAUUCCCGGUGUAGCGGUGAAGUGCGCAGAUAUCGGGAAGAACACCAGUGGCGAAGGCGGACUUACUGGUCCGGAACUGACGCUGAGGUG